AAGCGUUGUUCGGAAUUACUGGGCGUAAAGGGCGCGYAGGCGGCCUUCUAAGUCAGACGUGAAAUCCCCAGGCUUAACUUGGGAACUGCGUCUGAUACUGGGAGGCUUGAGUGCGGGAGAGGGAUGUGGAAUUCCAGGUGUAGCGGUGAAAUGCGUAGAUAUCUGGAGGAACACCGGUGGCGAAGGCGGCAUCCUGGACCGACACUGACGCUGAGGCGCGAAAGCUAGGGGAGCAAACGGGAUUAGAUACCCCGGUAGUCCUAGCCCUAAACGAUGAGUGCUUGGUGUGGCGGGUAUCGAUCCCUGCCGUGCCGAAGCUAACGCAUUAAGCACUCCGCCUGGGGAGUACGGUCGCAAGGCUG
rnacentral:rRNA from 1 species